AGAUUGAACGCUGGCGGCAUGCUUUACACAUGCAAGUCGAACGGUAACAGGCCGCAAGGUGCUGACGAGUGGCGAACGGGUGAGUAAUGCAUCGGAACGUGCCCAGUCGUGGGGGAUAACGCAGCGAAAGCUGUGCUAAUACCGCAUACGAUCUAUGGAUGAAAGCGGGGGACCGAAGGCCUCGCGCGAUUGGAGCGGCCGAUGUCAGAUUAGCUAGUUGGUGGGUAAAGCCCACCAAGGCGACGAUCUGUAGCUGGUCUGAGAGGACGACCGAGCCACACUGGAACUGAGACACGGUCCAGACUCCGUAGGGACGGCAGCGAGGUGGGGUAAUUUGGGACAAGUGGGCGCAAGCCUAGGAUCCAGCAAUGCCGCGUGCGAGGAAGAACGGUCCGUUACGGGUUA
rnacentral:rRNA from 1 species